GAUGAACGCUAGCGGCAGGCUUAACACAUGCAAGUCGAGGGGUAGAAGGAGCUUGCUCCUUUGAGACCGGCGCACGGGUGCGUAACGCGUAUGCAAUCUACCUUUUGCAGAGGGAUAGCCCAGAGAAAUUUGGAUUAAUACCUCAUAGUAUGUGAGGAUGGCAUCAUUUUCACAUUAAAGUCACAACGGCAAAGAUGAGCAUGCGUCCCAUUAGCUAGUUGGUAAGGUAACGGCUUACCAAGGCUACGAUGGGUAGGGGUCCUGAGAGGGAGGAUCCCCCACACUGGUACUGAGACACGGACCAGACUCCUACGGGAGGCAGCAGUGAGGAAUAUUGGACAAUGGGCGGCAAGA
rnacentral:rRNA from 1 species